rnacentral:rRNA from 1 species
ACGAACGCUGGCGGCGUGCUUAACACAUGCAAGUCGAACGGGCCCGCCCCUGUUUUUGGGGGUGGGUUGAGUGGCGAACGGGUGAGUAUCACGUGAGUAACCUGCCCCCUGCUCCUGGAUAACUGCUUGAAAGGGCGGCUAAUACGGGGUGUGCCGGCUGGUCCGCAUGGGCCUGGUCGGGAUAGUUUCAUCUUCGGGUGUUUCGGUGGGGGAUGGGCUCGCGGCCUAUCAGCUUGUUGGUGGGGUGAUGGCCCACCAAGGCGGUGACGGGUAGCCGGCCUGAGAGGGUGGGCGGCCACACUGGGACUGAGACACGGCCCAGACUCCUGCGGGAGGCAGCAGUGGGGGGUAUUGCACAAUGGGCGGAAGCCGGAUGCAGCGACGUCGCGUGAGGGAUGGAGGCCUUCGGGUUGUGAACCUCUUUCUCCGGUGGUGAAGGCCCUGUCCGUUGCGGCGGGGUUGACGGUAGCCGGGUAUGAAGCGCCGGCUAACUACGUG